CCUUUGUGGAACGACGGCUCCUUUAAUUUAGACAGAAGUUGACAAAUUCCACUCAGCAGUUAGAUCAAUAAAUCUGCCACUAUCACCUUCAUAAAUUGUGCCGUAUCAAGAGGUUUUACUGUCGGCGCGUGGCAGCAGAGGUCAUUUCCAUAAUCGGACACUUUGCUUAAACACAGCGACUGAAGCGUUAGUAACGGGCCUGUCAGCAUCCGUAACCCAGACAGCGCGUGUCCCAGCGACGCGCUGCUUCCUUUCCAGCCUGGCUGCGGUGCGUUUCCCGCGCUCUGCAGGGGGCCUGCUGGCGUCGACGGACGCCAGCAGGAUCCAGCGCGUCUCCAGUUUGGCUCCCAGCGUUUCCAGACGCUCCAGAGCGUCCUGUUGGUCACACACGUGCACCUGCUGCCUCUCAGCAGAUGACAGUCAGCGAUGUGUCAAUCUCUGGGCUACGCCUCAACAUCCCCGCGUCUCCGAGGGAUGAAAACAGGUCGAAUCCUUCUGCACAUUAAUCCAGAUGGCUGGCUGCAAUUUCAAAAGCCUCAUUGUCAUUCCCUGACAUUUCACAAGCCCCCCUCUGAGUCUUUGCUUAUCUGACUCAUGCUGACUGAAAUGAGGAUUGGAGCAAUAUGGAAUUCAGAUGCCUCGCAGGAUGAUCAGCCGACUUUGUCUCCUGAUACAAUGAGGAUAAUUUUUCUGUCCUGAUUGUCUUUGAAUGCUUAGACAGUAUGUCAAACAUUAACAAAUGAGCAGUAUAAAUCAACACAUUAACUGACAUGACUUCUACAGAAUCUAACAUUGAUAUUUUGAGUUCAUUACUAAUGGAGGCGAGUGACUGAAGGCUGGUUGUGUAUAACCAAUCCAAGCGUCCUCAGAGCUGACUGGAAACAUAUUAUUGUAUGAGUCAGGAACUAAUUUUGUUCGAGCUGUUAACCCUGGCUGCUGGAGUUCAUGGCUGAAGCCAGCUGAGUCCUUGUCUGAUGCCUUUUCCUCAUCACGGGCACUUUAAGUGCUUGUUGAGUCACUGGAUGGUCUAAAGAAAUAAGUUCUAUAUUAAUCACUAGCCUCCUGCUGCACAGGCCUGCUGGAAUCUGACUGGAUGCUGUUCAGAAACAGCUUCGUGGUAUAGUGUCUAAAAUGUCCAUCAUUAGGAAGAAGAAACCCAAGAGAACCAUUACAGUGUAAAAUGAUUAACCUCAAACCAAAGCAGCCAAAGGAAUUUAAUGACCUGAUAAAUACUACACUGAGAAGAUCACUAAUAAAAUGUCACAUAUAAUGUUUAUUUCAUUAACGUUAAUGUUUUUAACCGGUGUUAUUCUGGUAAACAUCAAAGUGCUGGAGAAUUUGUCUGAAACACAAAACCCUGAAGACCUAAAUUAAAAAUUGAUGUUAGAUUACUCAAUAGCAAAAGUUAUUGAAUAUCUAUAGAUCAAUAAUCAGGAGUAAACACGCUGACAGAGCUGUACUCCUCCUGCAGUGGCCUUUUCCCUUGUGUCCUCUCAGGUUUGUGUGUUUACUGUAACUGAGAUUAAAGCCACGCAAUCCUGAUAUCACAGUCAGACAUUUCUGAGAAUUAAGGUGAUUUACACAUUUCUAAUUUUAAUCUCUGAUCUGAACAUGUAGCUUAUGAGUGAUGGUGCGUCCUAAACACACACUGAAGAGGCUCCAGGAAACCACCGCUGGUUUAACUGCAGUAGGAGUCCACAGAUGCAGAUGUUGACCGUGUGGAGUUUUUGUGUCUUUACCUCCACUGAUGCACAUCAUAAAACCUGACAUCAGAAACUGAUGACACAUCCAUCUUUUACCCUAACGGCUCCUCCUUGGCACCAGUUAACCUGCAUGUGUUUGGACUGACAGAGGAACAGAGGAACAGCGGCCCUGCGAGGAGGCGACAGCGCUAACAACUGGGUGAUAUAAUAAAAACAACACAAACAGUAGCAUAAGACAGCGUCAUCUCCAAAGGAGUCACUCCGCCGAGUGACACUGUAAUCAUGUUUACAGAUGGCCUCCCAUUAACCCCGGCCGACGAGAUGCCCUUAAGGUUAUUUAUGACCGGCAAGAUUGACCCAAGGUAAGAAUCCGCGAUGAUCACCUUGUCACUUUCUCUGGUUUAUAUCAAACAGCUCACGCUCCAUCAGCACCACAGCUGAUAGCUCUAUUCCAGCAGCAAAAACACAAUCACCUCCAGCAUUGACUGGCUGUCGGUGUGAAAGAUAUGGCGUUUAUGAGCGCGAAGCUCGAGCGCUCUGGGGUCUGGAGUGUCCCAGCUGAGCAGGUCAGCACCAACAGGUCAGCGUCAACAGGUCAACGCCCACAGGUCAGCACCAACAGGUCAGCACCAACAGGUCAACGCCCACAGGUCAACGCCCACAGGUCAGCACCAACAGGUCAGCACCAACAGGUCAGCGUCAACAGGUCAACGCCUCCAGGUCAGCGCCAACAGGUCAACGCCCACAGGUCAGCGCCAACAGGUCAGCGCCAACAGGUCAGCACCCACAGGUCAGCGUCAACAGGUCAACGCCUCCAGGUCAGCGCCAACAGGUCAACGCCCACAGGUCAGCGCCAACAGGUCAGCACCAACAGGUCAGCGUCAACAGGUCAACGCCUCCAGGUCAGCACCCACAGGUCAGCGCCAACAGGUCAACGCCUCCAGGUCAGCACCCACAGGUCAGCGCCAACAGGUCAGCGCCCACAGGUCAGCGUCAACAGGUCAACGCCCACAGGUCAACGCCAACAGGUCAACGCCAAGAGUCAACGCCCACAGGUAGGGGAGGUUGUUGUUGCACCAGGUUCCCUGCAGGAAAUCCAACGGGGGGAACGUUGCGGCCGUGAAGGAAAUAUUGGCAGAGCCAGACGUCGGGUUGCCAUGGCGACGCGCAUCAGCCAGGCUACUUUGCGAGAGAGAUUCUGACAAACGGAUCCGGCGGAACAGGCAGCGAGGUCGUGGGAUCACGUCCAGCCGGGGACGGAGGGACACGGGCUGCAGACAGCACGGACUCACAGACGGCUCCGUCCACAGGCCUGUUGCCUCUGAAUGAGGUGCACGAGGCACCAGUGUUCCUGAUUAUAGCAGAGCACGGUACAGCAUGUGCAGACUCUGAUUGGAACCAUGAUGCUGGCACACCUGCUGACAAUUAAAGCAAAGGCCGGGGCCGAGGCCUUUCCCAGUCGUGGAGCAUUAUCUUGUUUUGGUCUUGGACUUGUAUCACCGCCAUCUGCAUUUUGUUUUUACUGUACAUUUCUGCAGCUCCUCUAUUUGGUCUGGUCUGGAAUAUUUAAACGAUUCCAAUCACGCGCUGACAUCUCACGCGUCCUUCUUUUGGCCUAAAGGUUAGUCGGCUGCUCUGGAGACGAGGACGCAGCUGGUAAAGCUUUUACACCAUCUUAAUACAGUUUACCUUUAGUUAUGUGACGCAGCCCCGGCUCCGGGCUGUUUUACUACUUUUUGCUAUUAUCAAAUUUAUGAGCCUGACCGUGGAAAGCAGACUCAAUAUGCACUCAAUUUAUUUGUUAUGGCUUUUAAUGUGAAAAUAUUUAAUUGCUUUUGUCUUAAGUCAUAAAGCAUUCAUAAUGACUCCACUAGUAAUUCAGCACACGUGUCUUAUUUAAAUGACGAUUAAAAGAGCUUUUUUUCUCGAC